UGAGGAACAUGACCUUCGGCGGGGGAUAGCCGGCCCAACGGCCGGGUAAUACCGCGUACGACCACAUGGGGACAUCCCUGAGUGGUGAAAGCAGCAAUGCGCCGAUGGAGUGCCUCGCGGCCUAUCAGCUAGUUGGUGAGGUAACGGCUCACCAAGGCAAAGAUGGUUACCUGGUCUGAGAGGAUGACACGCACCACUAGACGUAUAGAUACG
rnacentral:rRNA from 1 species